GCCCAAGGUGACAAUCCAAGAGGGGGGGGGGGUGAAUUGGUUUCUUCUAAAUUUUGGUGUUUUAAAAGUUUUCUUAAUUAAGUGCGGUGGAUGCUUUCUUAAAUUAUUUGAAUGAGUUAAACUAGAACAAAGAUGGAAGAUAUUGCAAGAAUAAACGUAAGCACAUGCACAACACAAACACAACAAUAUAUAGUGAUUUGGUGCUCUCCUUAGCACCUACGUCCACUCC
rnacentral:lncRNA from 1 species